GGGGGGGGGGGGGGGGGGGGGGGGGGGGGGGAGGUCGAGGGAGCGGGUGGGUGCGAGGGGCGGGCGGGGGGGUGACGCGUGGGAACGUGCCCUUUUCUGCGGAAUAGUGCGGGGAAACUGGGGGUAAUACCGCCUACGCCCUUGUGUGGAAAGAUUUAUCGGAGAAGGAUCGGCCCGCGUUGGAUUAGGUAGUUGGUGGGGUAAUGGCCCACCAACCCGACGCUCCAUAGCUGGUUUGAGAGGAUGAUCAGCCACACUGGGACUGAGACACGGCCCAGACUCCUACGGGAGGCAGCAGUGGGGAAUCUUAGACAAUGGGGGCAACCCUGAUCUAGCCAUGCCGCGUGAGUGAUGAAGGCCUUAGGGUUGUAAAGCUCUUUCAGCUGGGAAGAUAAUGACGGUACCAGCAGAAGAAGCCCCGGCUAACUCCGUG
rnacentral:rRNA from 1 species